rnacentral:rRNA from 1 species
CCUAAGGCGAGGCCGAAAGGCGUAGUCGAUGGGAAACAGGUUAAUAUUCCUGUACUUGGUGUUACUGCGAAGGGGGGACGGAGAAGGCUAUGUUGGCCGGGCGACGGUUGUCCCGGUUUAAGCGUGUAGGCUGGUUUUCCAGGCAAAUCCGGAAAAUCAAGGCUGAGGCGUGAUGACGAGGCACUACGGUGCUGAAGCAACAAAUGCCCUGCUUCCAGGAAAAGCCUCUAAGCAUCAGGUAACACGAAAUCGUACCCCAAACCGACACAGGUGGUCAGGUAGAGAAUACCAAAGCGCUUGAGAGAACUCUGCUGAAGGAACUAGGCAAAAUGGUACCGUAACUUCGGGAGAAGGUACGCUGCUGACGGUGAUGGGACUUGCUCCCUGAGCGGUUGGCAGCCGCAGAAACCAGGCCGCUGCAACUGUUUAUUAAAAACAUAGCACUCUGCAAACACGAAAGUGGACGUAUAGGGUGUGAUGCCUGCCCGGUGCUGGAAGGUUAAUUGAUGGGGUUAGCGUAAGCGAAGCUCUUGAUCGAAGCCCCAGUAAACGGCGGCCGUAACAAUAACGGUCCUAAGGUAGCGAAAUUCCUUGUCGGGUAAGUUCCGACCUGCACGAAUGGCAUAAUGAUGGCGGCGCUGUCUCCAGCAGAGGCUCAGUGAAAUCGAAAUCGCUGUGAAGAUGCAGUGUACCCGCGGCUAGACGGAAAGACCCCGUGAACCUUUACUGCAGCUUGACACUGAACUUUGACCUUACUUGUGUAGGAUAGGUGGGAGGCUUUGAAGUUGGAACGCUAGUUCCAAUGGAGCCGUCCUUGAAAUACCACCCUGGUAAUGUUGAGGUUCUAACUCUGUCCCGUUAUCCGGGACGAGGACCAUGUCUGGUGGGUAGUUUGACUGGGGCGGUCUCCUCCUAAAGAGUAACGGAGGAGUACGAAGGUGCGCUCAGCGUGGUCGGAAAUCACGCGUAGAGUAUAAAGGCAAAAGCGCGCUUAACUGCGAGACCCACAAGUCGAGCAGGUACGAAAGUAGGUCUUAGUGAUCCGGUGGUUCUGUAUGGAAGGGCCAUCGCUCAACGGAUAAAAGGUACUCUGGGGAUAACAGGCUGAUACCGCCCAAGAGUUCAUAUCGACGGCGGUGUUUGGCACCUCGAUGUCGGCUCAUCUCAUCCUGGGGCUGAAGCAGGUCCCAAGGGUAUGGCUGUUCGCCAUUUAAAGAGGUACGUGAGCUGGGUUUAGAACGUCGUGAGACAGUUCGGUCCCUAUCUACCGUGGGCGUUGGAAAUUUGAGAGGAUCUGCUCCUAGUACGAGAGGACCAGAGUGGACGAACCUCUGGUGUACCGGUUGUGACGCCAGUCGCAUCGCCGGGUAGCUAUGUUCGGAAGGGAUAACCGCUGAAAGCAUCUAAGCGGGAAGCCUACCUCAAGAUAAGAUUUCCCUAAAGAGCCGUUGUAGACUACGACGUUGAUAGGUUGGGUGUGGAAGCAUAGUGAUAUGUGUAGCUAACCAAUACUAAUUGCUCGUUUGGCUUGACU